UCGCUUUGAAACAGCAAAGCGGGAGAAGAGCCGCUGAGUGGGGAGGAGAGAGGGACAGAGAGCCUGCUUCUUUAAAGGAGCAAAGCGGGAGAGGAGAGGAGCCGCUUACACGAGUUGUCUGGUUGUCUCCUUUAAAGCAAGCAGGCUCUCUGUCCCUCUCUUCUCCUCACUCAGCUCGCUUCAUAGCAGCAAAGUU